AUACAGAGGGUGCGAGCGUUAAUCGGAAUUACUGGGCGUAAAGCGCGCGUAGGCGGCUUGAUCAGUCGGAUGUGAAAGCCCCGGGCUCAACCUGGGAACUGCAUUCGAUACUGUCAGGCUAGAGUAUGGUAGAGGGAAGUGGAAUUCCAGGUGUAGCGGUGAAAUGCGUAGAGAUCUGGAGGAACAUCAGUGGCGAAGGCGACUUCCUGGACCAAUACUGACGCUGAGGUGCGAAAGCGUGGGGAGCAAACAGGAUUAGAAACCCUAGUAGUCC
rnacentral:rRNA from 1 species